rnacentral:rRNA from 1 species
GUGCCAGCAGUCGCGGUUAUACAAUUUUAAAUAUUAAACUUUUUUGGUUAUGUAUUAAAUUAUAUUUAUUCAGUUAAUGGGAUUUUUAUUUGGUGAAAUAUUAAUUUUUUAGACACUGAUAUAUAUUAUAAUAUAAGAAAGUUAUAUAUAGACUAGGAUUAGAUACCCUAUUAUUUUAACUGUAAAAUGUCAACCUAAUUAGUAUUAGAUAUGAUCUUUAAAUUUAAAGAAUUUGGCGGUAAUUUAACUUUUCAGAGGAACCUGUCCUGUAAUUGAUAAUCCACAAUAAAUUUUACUUUUAUUAUGUUUAUAUAUCUCUAUCAUUGAAUGUCUUUUGAAGGAAAUUUUCUAAACGAUUUUUUAAUCAAAAUGUUAGGUCAAGGUUUAAUAAUAU